rnacentral:rRNA from 1 species
GACGAACGCUGGCGGCGUGCCUAAUACAUGCAAGUAGAACGCACAGUUUAUACCGUAGCUUGCUACACCAUACACUGUGAGUUGCGAACGGGUGAGUAACGCGUAGGUAACCUGCCUGGUAGCGGGGGAUAACUAUUGGAAACGAUAGCUAAUACCGCAUAAUAUUAAUUAUUGCAUGAUAAUUGAUUGAAAGAUGCAAUUGCAUCCCUACCAGCUGGACCUGCGUUGUAUUAGCUAGUAGGUGAGGUAACGGCGCACCUAGGCGACGAUACAUAGCCGACCUGAGAGGGUGAUCGGCCACACUGGGACUGAGACACGGCCCAGACUCCUAAGGGAGGCAGCAGUAGGGAAUCUUCGGCAAUAGACGAAAGUCUGACCGAGCAAGGCCGCGUGAGUGAAGAAGGUUUUCGGAUCGUAAAGCUCUGUUGUAAGAGAAGAACGGGCGUGAGAGUGGAAAGUUCACACUGUGACGGUAUCUUACCAGAAAGGGACGGCUAACUACGUG